rnacentral:rRNA from 1 species
UACGUGAGGAUGCAAGCGUUGUCCGGAAUUAUUGGGCGUAAAGAGCGCGCAGGCGGUAUGACAAGUCAGAUGUGAAAGAGGCCGGCUUAACCGGCAAGGGUCAUUUGAAACUGUCAGACUAGAGUGCAGCAGAGGAUAGUGGAAUUCCCGGUGUAGUGGUGAAAUGCGUAGAUAUCGGGAGGAACACCAGUGGCGAAGGCGACUAUCUGGGCUGCAACUGACGCUGAGGCGCGAAGGCUAGGGUAGCAAACAGG